rnacentral:rRNA from 1 species
UACGUAGGGUGCGAGCGUUGUCCGGAAUUACUGGGCGUAAAGAGCUCGUAGGUGGUUUGUCGCGUUGUUCGUGAAAACUCACAGCUCAACUGUGGGCGUGCGGGCGAUACGGGCAGACUGGAGUACUGCAGGGGAGACUGGAAUUCCUGGUGUAGCGGUGGAAUGCGCAGAUAUCAGGAGGAACACCGGUGGCGAAGGCGGGUCUCUGGGCAGUAACUGACGCUGAGGCGCGAAAGCGUGGGGAGCGAACAGG